GAUGAACGCUAGCGGCAGGCUUAACACAUGCAAGUCGAGGGGUAUGCCGAUUUAUCGGCAGAGACCGGCGCACGGGUGCGUAACGCGUAUGCAAUCUACCUUUCACAGAGGGAUAGCCCAGAGAAAUUUGGAUUAAUACCUCAUAGUAUAGCAGUUUCGCAUGAAACCACUAUUAAAGUUCCAACGGUGAAAGAUGAGCAUGCGUCCCAUUAGCUAGAUGGUAAGGUAACGGCUUACCAUGGCUACGAUGGGUAGGGGUCCUGAGAGGGAGAUCCCCCACACUGGUACUGAGACACGGACCAGACUCCUACGGGAGGCAGCAGUGAGGAAUAUUGGUCAAUGGACGCAAGUCUGAACCAGCCAUGCCGCGUGCAGGAUGACGGUCCUAUGGAUUGUAAACUGCUUUUGUACGAG
rnacentral:rRNA from 1 species